rnacentral:rRNA from 1 species
AAUCCAUAGGUUAAUGAGGCGAACCGGGGGAACUGAAACAUCUAAGUACCCCGAGGAAAAGAAAUCAACCGAGAUUCCCCCAGUAGCGGCGAGCGAACGGGGAGGAGCCCAGAGCCUGAAUCAGCAUGUGUGUUAGUGGAAGCGUCUGGAAAGGCGCGCGAUACAGGGUGACAGCCCCGUACACAAAAGCGCAUGUGCUGUGAGCUCGAUGAGUAGGGCGGGACACGUGGUAUCCUGUCUGAAUAUGGGGGGACCAUCCUCCAAGGCUAAAUACUCCUGACUGACCGAUAGUGAACCAGUACCGUGAGGGAAAGGCGAAAAGAACCCCGGCGAGGGGAGUGAAAAAGAACCUGAAACCGUGUACGUACAAGCAGUGGGAGCACAGGUUUACCUGUGUGACUGCGUACCUUUUGUAUAAUGGGUCAGCGACUUAUAUUCUGUAGCAAGGUUAACCGUAUAGGGGAGCCGCAGGGAAACCGAGUCUUAACCGGGCGUUAAGUUGCAGGGUAUAGACCCGAAACCC